GCCAGGUGUUGUGGUGCACACCUGUAAUCCCAGGGGCUUGGGAGGCUGAGACAAGAGGACCACAAGUUCAAAAGCCAGCCUGGGCAAAAGCAAGGUGCUAAGCAACACAGUGAGACCCUAUCUCUA
rnacentral:sRNA from 1 species